UCAUUAUCGAGUUUUGAACGGGUUGUCUGCUGGCUCGCAAGGGCAUGUGCACGCCUGUCUCAUCCACUCUCAACUUCUGUGCACUUUUCAUAGGCCGGCUUGUGGGUGCGUUCGCGCACUUGUAGGUGUCGGGCUUAUGCUUUAUUACAAACGAUUCAGUUUUAGAAUGUCAUACUUUGCUAUAACGCAAUUUAUAUACAACUUUCAGCAACGGAUCUCUUGGCUCUCGCAUCGAUGAAGAACGCAGCGAAAUGCGAUAAGUAAUGUGAAUUGCAGAAUUCAGUGAAUCAUCGAAUCUUUGAACGCACCUUGCGCUCCUUGGUAUUCCGAGGAGCAUGCCUGUUUGAGUCUCAUGGAAUUCUCAACCUUCGGCUUCAUUGACGAAGGCUUGGACUUGGAGGUCGUGCCGGCUCUCGUAGUCGGCUCCUCUGAAAUGCAUUAGUGCGAACGUUACCGACCGCUUCAGCGUGAUAAUUAUCUGCGUUGCUGUGGAGGGUAUUCUAGUGUUCACGCUUCUAACCGUCUUCGGACAAAUUUCUGAACUCUGAGCUCAAAUCAGGUAGGACUACC
rnacentral:rRNA from 1 species